rnacentral:lncRNA from 1 species
AUGUUUUUGUUCAUUAGGUUUUUGAAAACCACGGGAGCAGAGGAACUGCCCAGCCUUGCCCAAGAUGUAUUGCUGGAGAAUCCGGACACUUCAAUCAUAUCCUGGGCUUCUAGGAUGGGCAGGUGGGCAACGCUGCUUGUCCUGGUGAACUCCAAAGUGGCACCAGGCCCCCGCACCCCCGGGACGUCUGCGCCUGCGCCCGCGGCGGGGACUCAGCUCUGUCCCUGCACAGUCACGGGUGUCAUCGUUCUACACUUGGAAAAAAAUGCUUCUGCUUUUAAGAUGCUUCAAAAUUUUCUUCAAUCACAAGAACAGGACAAUCCAUUACACGAUCAAAUCUCCCAAGAAACACGGCGGGUUCAGCAGCUGCAUUGUCCCUGCUGCCUUGAGGAGCUGGAACUCAUCUCCUGUCCUCCAGUCCAGCUGGGUGUAAGCAGCAGUGUCCAUCCCCCUGGGUCCAGCUGGAUGUGAGCAGCAGUGUCCAUCCCAUGGGAAGGAAGAGUUUUCUGCUGGAAUACGUCGGAGCAAAGCGUGCCAUCGCGUUUGAAUCACGGGGAUGUGUCUGUGGAUUAUCAAACCCAAAGGGUGCUUUUCAUUUCAGUAACUCAGAUUUUAUCCUGUUGAGGAUUCACGGGUGGCACUGGGUGUGCUGCUGCUGCUGCUUGCUUCAACCUCAGCUGUGUCCUCAUCUUGGCUUAUACUAUUUAAAAAAAAUAAAUAGAAGAACGCUUUGGGAGUUGCA